ensembl:lncRNA UBE2Q2P2 UBE2Q2 pseudogene 2
CACGAAUAUACUAUUACGUGUGUUAUGGUCCUCAUUAUUUGGAUGAAUAAUUUGAAUAAUAAGUCAGCUUGUGACUUAGCCAAAUAAAUCUUCUGAUUCCUAGUAAAGUGUUUUUCAUUAUACGAAAUGCCAGCUAUGUAAGAGGAGAUUAAAAGUACUAAGAACUAAGUUGUCUUUGGUUCAGAGAACAGUCUUCAGACCUAGAAAGGACUUGAGGAGUCCCAGAGAGGAGCCACAUGGUGUGAACCAUUCGAUUCUCACAACAGAAUGGAUAAGAACAAUUUCAACCAUGAAACCGUGCAGAUGUUCAUAUUUUGAAUAGGGUAUGUAUUGGGUGGAGGAGCAUUAUGUAUGGAACCUCUGCUCCUACUUUCAAGAAUGAAAAAG